CACUUUAAGAAAAAGGAAUUUACCCUCGUCUCGUCCAAACUUUUUCCUAGAAUCUCACAGAUCCCAACCCGGUCCUCCCAGAGAAUUGCGGAAGGAAAAAGACGGGUAGCCUCAAUAAAGGGUUCCUGAACGGUACCAUUCUCCCUCUUCCCCCUUCUUCGUGUGAACUUCUCGCGUCAUGUUGCCCCUCAACAUACGACGCAAGCCCUUCCUACUUAGCGAGGGCUUUUCCUCAGAUAACUAAGAGAGGGUUAACCAACCUAGCAUCCCCGCUACUAAAUGAAGUGCCCGCUCCAGAGACCAAGUUCAGGUCCUACCGGGUCGUCGCGGUCCCUUUUCUUAUCUUCUUCGUAGACUGAGAAAGUACGUAUGAGGUGAACCGAGCCCCCCCUAUAUCGAGUCAACCAUCUCGAGGCGAGAACGUUAACCCAGCAACGCUAAUGCCCAACCGACAGAUUAACAGGUCCGCCAUUACUAUCAUAGAACAUGGACUUGGCCACCGAGUGAAAAAGAUUCAUUACCCCUUCUCCUGACUUUGUACGGUGACUUUCUGAGAUGACUCUGUUUUUCUACCCGACAGUUUUUCCAUCUCCUCCAUCCUACCCGUCAACCAGUCUAGAUCAUACCUAGCAUGUACCUGCUAUCAACCUCAGCCGCCGAGAGGAUCCGAAGGGAGUAGACCCUAGGGACCCCUUCUCCUAGUUCAACCGGGAACGCUUAUUGAACUACGUGAUAGAGGGAAGUUGGGAAACUCGCUUUACAUCGUUUUCCUUCCUUUUAGGUACCUGGCUGGGGUAACAGAGGUGGGGCAUCCUUGAUGCUCUAGUGGGGUUCCUGCGGGAGCCGCAGGUCCCCAGUGCCUGGCUGGUAUCUGGGACAAGUUAUUCACCUUGUGUAAUCG
rnacentral:rRNA from 1 species